rnacentral:rRNA from 1 species
UCAGUGGCUACGAGGACACGCUGGCGGCGUGCCUAACACAUGCAAGUCGAACGAGGUCCAUGCAGUGGCAACACUGCGGAAGACCUAGUGGCGAACGGGUGAGUAACACGUGAGGAACCUGCCCCGAAGACCGGGAUAACCCUCCGAAAGGAGAGCUAAUACCGGAUACCCCCACCUGAUCGCAUGAUCGGGUGAGGAAAUGGAUUCCGCUUCGGGAGGGCCUCGCGGCCUAUCAGCUUGUUGGUGGGGUAACGGCCCACCAAGGGCAUCGACGGGUAGCUGGUCUGAGAGGACGAUCAGCCACACUGGGACUGAGACACGGUCCAGACUCCUACGGGAGGCAGCAGUGGGGAAUCUUGCGCAAUGGGCGAAAGCCUGACGCAGCAACGCCGCGUGGGGAUGAAGGCUCUCGGGUUGUAAACCCCUUUCAGCAGGGACGAAUCAAGACGGUACCUGCAGAAGAAGCCCCGGCUAACUACGUG